rnacentral:rRNA from 1 species
AGGAUUCCCCUAGUAACUGCGAGUGAAGCGGGAAAAGCUCAAAUUUAAAAUCUGGCGGUCUUUGGCUGUCCGAGUUGUAAUUUAGAGAAGUGCCUUCCGCGCCGGACCAUGCAAAAGUCUCCUGGAAUGGAGCGUCAUAGAGGGUGAGAAUCCCGUCUUUGGCAUGGAUGCUCGGUGCUUCUGUGAUGCGCUCUCGAAGAGUCGAGUUGUUUGGGAAUGCAGCUCAAAAUGGGUGGUGAACUCCAUCUAAAGCUAAAUAUUGGCGAGAGACCGAUAGCGAACAAGUACCGUGAGGGAAAGAUGAAAAGCACUUUGGAAAGAGAGUGAAACAGUACGUGAAAUUGUUGAAAGGGAAACGCUUGAAGUCAGUCGCGUUGACCAAGACUCAGCCUUGCCCUCGGCUUGGUGUACUUCUUGGCUGACGGGCCAGCAUCAAUUUUGUCUCUCGGAUAAUGGUGGGGGAAAGGUGGCACCCUUUACGGGUGUGUUAUAGUCCCUUGUCGCAUGCGAGGGGUGGGAUUGAGGAACUCAGCACGCGCCUUUAGGUGUCGGGGCUUCGGCCCACGUUACGUGCUUAGGAUGUUGGCGGUAAUGGCUUUAAACGACCCGUCUUGAAACACGGACCAAGGAGUCUAACAUACCCGCGAGUGUUCGGGUGGAAAACCCGUGUGCGUAAUGAAAGUAAAAGUUGGGACCUCUGUCGUGGAGGGCACCGACGCCCGGACCAGACCUUCUGUGACGGAUCUGCGGUAGAGCGUGUAUGUUGGGACCCGAAAGAUGGUGAACUAUGCCUGAAUAGGGUGAAGCCAGAGGAAACUCUGGUGGAGGCUCGUAGCGAUUCUGACGUGCAAAUCGAUCGUCAAAUUUGGGUAUAGGGGCGAAAGACUAAUCGAACC